GAGAAUAAAGAACGGAGAAGGUAGAGGUCGGGUGAGAAUAAAGAACUGAGAAGGUAGAGGUCAGGUGAGAACGGAGAAGGUAGAGGUCAGGUGAGAAUAAAGAACGGAGAAGGUAGAGGUCAGGUGAGAAUAAAGAACGGAGGAGGUAGAGGUCAGGUGAGAAUGGAGGAGGUAGAGGUC